GCAGCCCUCUCUCCCUGCCUAUAGACAGCUGUCUUCUCCCCUGUCCUCACAUAGUCUAUGUGUGUUUGGGUCCUGAUCCCUUCUUCCUGUAAGAACACACACAGGCCAUAUUGGAUGAGGGCCUCCUCUGAAGACCUCAUUUUAUCUUGAUCACCUCUGUAUAAAGGCCCCAUCUCCAAAUACAGUCAUAAUCCAAGAUGCUGACACCUCCUGACAGGACACACCUGGGUGAGGAUGGUCGCUGGCUACAGCAACACUGGGAACAAAAACGUGGAAACAACUGAAGGAGCGACUACAUGAAUCAAGACAGGAAACCACAGACCCAGGAGGGGAGGCGGCACGCGAUCCCAUGCUGUGUUUGGAUCCCUGCGUCCUAACCUUGACGAUGCAGCUGAGG